rfam:Prunus persica cultivar Lovell chromosome G1, whole genome shotgun sequence.
GUUUCUAAUGAUGAAACAUUCAAUUCUCCUGAGCUUAUUGAUGCUGAAAAUCUGGAGACCUGAACUGAAGAACA